rnacentral:rRNA from 1 species
UACGUAGGGUGCAAGCGUUAAUCGGAAUUACUGGGCGUAAAGCGUGCGCAGGCGGCUAUGCAAGACAGAUGUGAAAUCCCCCGGGCUCAACCUGGGAACUGCAUUUGUGACUGCAUGGCUAGAGUACGGUAGAGGGGGGAUGGAAUUCCGCGUGUAGCAGUGAAAUGCGUAGAUAUGCGGAGGAACACCGAUGGCGAAGGCAAUCCCCUGGACCUGUACUGACGCUCAUGCACGAAAGCGUGGGGAGCAAACAGG